UACAGAGGAUGCAAGCGUUAUCCGGAAUGAUUGGGCGUAAAGCGUCUGUAGGUGGCUUUUUAAGUCCGCCGUCAAAUCCCAGGGCUCAACUCUGGACAGGCGGUGGAAACUACCAAGCUGGAGUACGGUAGGGGCAGAGGGAAUUUCCGGUGGAGCGGUGAAAUGCGUAGAGAUCGGAAAGAACACCAACGGCGAAGGCGGCGACCUGGACAGGCACUGACACUCAACUACGAAAGCGUGGGGAGCAAACAGG
rnacentral:rRNA from 1 species